GGUUAAGCGACUAAGCGUACACGGUGGAUGCCCUGGCAGUCAGAGGCGAUGAAGGACGUGCUAAUCUGCGAAAAGCGUCGGUAAGGUGAUAUGAACCGUUAU
rnacentral:rRNA from 1 species